rnacentral:rRNA from 1 species
CGGCGUGCUUAACACAUGCAAGUCGAACGGUGACGAUAAGAGCUUGCUCUUGUCUGAUCAGUGGCGAACGGGUGAGUAACACGUGAGUAACCUGCCCCAGACUCUGGGAUAACCCCGGGAAACCGGAGCUAAUACCGGAUAUGACACCAACGGGCAUCCGUAUGGUGUGGAAAGUUUUUCGGUCUGGGAUGGACUCGCGGCCUAUCAGCUUGUUGGUGAGGUAGUGGCUCACCAAGGCGACGACGGGUAGCCGGCCUGAGAGGGCGACCGGCCACACUUGGACUGAGACACGGCCCAGACUCCUACGGGAGGCAGCAGUGGGGAAUAUUGCACAAUGGGCGAAAGCCUGAUGCAGCGACGCCGCGUGAGGGAUGACGGCCUUCGGGUUGUAAACCUCUUUCAGCAGGGAAGAAGCGCAAGUGACGGUACCUGCAGAAGAAGCACCGGCUAACUACGUGCCAGCAGCCGCGGUAAUACGUAGGGUGCGAGCGUUGUCCGGAAUUAUUGGGCGUAAAGAGCUCGUAGGCGGUGUGUCGCGUCGGUCGUGAAAACUUGGGGCUUAACCCUGAGCUUGCGGUCGAUACGGGCAUCACUGGAGUUCGGCAGGGGAGACUGGAAUUCCUGGUGUAGCGGUGGAAUGCGCAGAUAUCAGGAGGAACACCGAUGGCGAAGGCAGGUCUCUGGGCCAUUACUGACACUGAGAAGCGAAAGCAUGGGGAGCGAACAGGAUUAGAUACCCUGGUAGUCCAUGCCGUAAACGUUGGGAACUAGGUGUGGGUCUCAUUCCACGAGAUCCGUGCCGCAGCUAACGCAUUAAGUUCCCCGCCUGGGGAGU